rnacentral:rRNA from 1 species
AAAAAUCCGGCAGCUCUUAACUCCGAGGUGUGAUGACGAGGCUCCACGCGAGCCGAAGUGAAUAACGCCCCGCUUCCAGGAAAAGCCUCUAAGCUUCAGAUCACAUUGGACCGUACCGUAAACCGACACUGGUGGGUGAGCAGAUAAUCUGCCAAGGCGCUUGAGAGAACUCGGGUUAAGGAACUCUGCAAAUUGAUACCGUAACUUCGGAAGAAGGUAUGCCUUCGACGGUGUAGGGAUUUACUCCCGAAGCUGUUGAAGGUCGCAGGUAAUCGGUGGCUGCGACUGUUUAUCAAAAACACAGGACUCUGCGAACACGCAAGUGGAAGUAUAGGGUCUGACGCCUGCCCGGUGCCGAAGGUUAAUUGAUGGGGUUAGCCGCAAGGCGAAGCUCUUGAUCGAAGCCCCGGUAAACGGCGGCCGUAACGAUAACGGUCCUAAGGUAGCGAAAUUCCUUGUCGGGUAAGUUCCGACCUGCACGAAUGGCGUAACGCUGGCCACACUGUCUCGACCCGAGACUCAGUGAAGUUGAAAUCGCUGUGAAGAUGCGGCGUUCCCGCGGCAAGACGGAAAGACCCCGUGAACCUUCACUACAGCUUUACACUGAACUUUGAACCUUUCUGUGUAGGAUAGGUGGGAGGCUAUGAAACUUGGGCGCUAGCUCGAGUGGAGCCAACCUUGAAAUACCACCCUGGGAUGUUUGAAGUUCUAACCUUGGUCCGUAAUCCGGAUUGGGGACAGUGUAUGGUGGGUAGUUUGACUGGGGCGGUCUCCUCCCAAAGAGUAACGGAGGAGUGCAAUGGUACGCUCAGCGCGGUCGGUCAUCGCGCUCUAGAGUGCAAAGGCAUAAGCGUGCUUAACUGCGAGACAGACACGUCGAACAGGUACGAAAGUAGGUCUUAGUGAUCCGGUGGUUCUGUAUGGAAGGGCCAUCGCUCAACGGAUAAAAGGUACUCCGGGGAUAACAGGCUUAUUCCUCCCAAGAGUCCACAUCGACGGAGGAGUUUGGCACCUCGAUGUCGGCUCAUCACAUCCUGGGGCUGUAGCAGGUCCCAAGGGUAUGGCUGUUCGCCAUUUAAAGUGGUACGCGAGCUGGGUUCAGAACGUCGUGAGACAGUUCGGUCCCUAUCUGCCGUGGGCGUUGGAAACUUGAGGGUGAGCUGUCCUUAGUACGAGAGGACCGGGAUGGACGUAUCUCUGGUGUUCCGGUUGUCACGCCAGUGGCACUGCCGGGUAGCUAUAUACGGACGGGAUAAGCGCUGAAAGCAUCUAAGCGCGAAGCCCCCCCCAAGAUUAGGUUUCCCUGGGAACUCGAUUCCCCUAAAGGGCCGUCGGAGACUACGACGUUGAUAGGCUGGGUGUGUAAGUGCAGCAAUGCAUUGAGCUAACCAGUACUAAUUGCCCGUGAGGCUUGACC